rnacentral:snRNA from 1 species
GUACUCGCUUCGGCGGUACAUAUACUAAAAUUGGAACGAUACAGAGAAGAUUAGCAUGGCCCUUGCGCAAGGAUGACACGCAAAAUCGUGAAGCGUUCCACAUUUUU